rnacentral:rRNA from 1 species
AUUGAACGCUGGCGGCAUGCCUUGCACAUGCAAGUCGAACGGUAACAGGUCUUCGGAUGCUGACGAGUGGCGAACGGGUGAGUAAUACAUCGGAACGUGCCCGAUCGUGGGGGAUAACGAGGCGAAAGCUUUGCUAAUACCGCAUACGAUCUACGGAUGAAAGCGGGGGAUCUUCGGACCUCGCGCGGACGGAGCGGCCGAUGGCAGAUUAGGUAGUUGGUGGGAUAAAAGCUUACCAAGCCGACGAUCUGUAGCUGGUCUGAGAGGAUGAUCAGCCACACUGGGACUGAGACACGGCCCAGACUCCUACGGGAGGCAGCAGUGGGGAAUUUUGGACAAUGGGCGAAAGCCUGAUCCAGCCAUGCCGCGUGCAGGAUGAAGGCCUUCGGGUUGUAAACUGCUUUUGUACGGAACGAAAAGCCUCUUUCUAAUAAAGAGGGGUCAUGACGGUACCGUAAGAAUAAGCACCGGCUAACUACGUG